rnacentral:rRNA from 1 species
UAGCCCACGCCGUAAACGAUGAUAACUAGCUGUCCGGGCUCAUAGAGCUUGGGUGGCGCAGCUAACGCAUUAAGUUAUCCGCCUGGGGAGUACGGUCGCAAGAUUAAAACUCAAAGGAAUUGACGGGGGCCUGCACAAGCGGUGGAGCAUGUGGUUUAAUUCGAAGCAACGCGCAGAACCUUACCAGCCUUUGACAUCCUAGGACGGUUUCUGGAGACAGACUCCUUCCCUUCGGGGACCUAGUGACAGGUGCUGCAUGGCUGUCGUCAGUCCGUGCUGUGAAGCGUUUGGUUCAUUCCAACAAACGGACGAAACUCUUUUAUAUUAUAAAAUAUAUAUUGCUAAAGAUAUUUUAGAUGAAAGAAGAAUGACGCCAAGUCCUCAUGACCCUAAUAAAUUGGACUACUUCACGUGCUACAAUAGUUUUCAAAAGAAGCAAAAAUGUAAGUUUUAGCAAAUCUUCAAAAAAUUGAGUUCGGAUUGUUUUCUGAAAUUCGAAAACAUUAAGUUGGAAUUGCUAGUAAUCGUAAAU